UCUUGUUUAUAUGUGAAUAUUUAUCAUUUAUAAAAAUGGUUUUCAUCAUCAGCAUGUGAUUUACAGAUAUGUUAUAUUUCAAAAAAAAAGUGGUCCUCUAUAAAAAAACUUUUUUUGUAUCGUACCUAUUAAAUCAUCAAGCUACCUGUCUGGAGAAGUGCACGAUCAUCUUCAAUGUUUUCCUUUAUUAAGGAGUUAUCGGAAAUCCCCCGAAAUGGCAUAUCAUCCGAUAUAAAUUCCUCAAAACAUAGGCAUGCAAGGUGAAAUCAGAGUGGUUUGAUUGAAGUCAAGAGAAUGAGAGAAUCAAUACUGUAGCUGGGUAAAGAAAGGGAGCUUAAAGCUAGGAUUGAUCGUUGUUGUCAUAGUGACAAUGAAUGGAAAUUAGAGAUAGACAAAUAACAUAAAUAAGAAGUUUCUGGAGAAUGGAUCUUUUAAGUAAAAAAUAAGCUUAUUGUCGAU